AAAAGAACCUGAAACCGUGUACGUACAAGCAGUGGGAGCACCCUUUGGGGUGUGACUGCGUACCUUUUGUAUAAUGGGUCAGCGACUUAUAUUCUGUAGCAAGGUUAACCGAAUAGGGGAGCCGGAGGGAAACCGAGUCUUAACCGGGCGUUAAGUUGCAGGGUAUAGACCCGAAACCCGGUGAUCUAGCCAUGGGCAGGUUGAAGGUUGGGUAACACUAACUGGAGGACCGAACCGACUAAUGUUGAAAAAUUAGCGGAUGACCUGUGGCUGGGGGUGAAAGGCCAAUCAAACCGGGAGAUAGCUGGUUCUCCCCGAAAGCUAUUUAGGUAGCGCCUCGUGAAUUCAUCUCCGGGGGUAGAGCACUGUUUCGGCUAGGGGGCCAUCCCGGCUUACCAACCCGAUGCAAACUGCGAAUACCGGAGAAUGUUAUCACGGGAGACACACGGCGGGUGCUAACGUCCGUCGUGAAGAGGGAAACAACCCAGACCGCCAGCUAAGGUCCCAAAGUCAUGGUUAAGUGGGAAACGAUGUGGGAAGGCCCAGACAGCCAGGAUGUUGGCUUAGAAGCAGCCAUCAUUUAAAGAAAGCGUAAUAGCUCACUGGUCGAGUCGGCCUGCGCGGAAGAUGUAACGGGGCUAAACCAU
rnacentral:rRNA from 1 species